rnacentral:misc_RNA from 1 species
GAUGAAGAACGUAGCGAAAUGCGAUAAGUAAUGUGAAUUGCAGAAUUCAGUGAAUCAUCGAAUCUUUGAACGCACAUUGCGCCCUCUGGUAUUCCGGGGGGCAUGCCUGUUCGAGCGUCAUUAUAACCACUCAAGCUCUCGCUUGGUAUUGGGGUUCGCGGUUCCGCGGCCCCUAAAAUCAGUGGCGGUGCCUGUCGGCUCUACGCGUAGUAAUACUCCUCGCGAUUGAGUCCGGUAGGUCUACUUGCCAGCAACCCACAAUUUUUACAGGUUGACCUCGGAUCAGGUAGGGAUACCCGCUGAACUUAAGCAUAUCAAUAAGCGGAGGA